UUAACCGUGGCACGCAAUCCGCAGCUUGAUUCGUGCGAGUCUGUCGCUUUCGUCCGUCAGGGACUUGCUGCGACGUAAACGGGUGUGUGCGAAAGUAUGAAGUGAAAUCGUACUUAAAAGUGUGUGAAAUGUUAAGUGUUAGUUUUUAUUGUGCAUAAAAAACAAAAAUGAGUGCGAACGGAUAAAAAAGUUUUCUUUUCUGAUCCCCAAAACAUUGUACGCAUCGGUACACGUAACAUUUCGUAUGAACGGUUUCAAAAUGGCUGUGUUUUGAAGGACCCUUUGUCCGCUUUCGUGUGCUUCUUUCAGCAUGAUAGUGGGAUCGUACUGUCACAAAAUUGUCUUAGAGAGGUGAGGAAGGCUCUUGCUAAGUUUUAGUGGUACUUGUGUAGAACAGCGGAGUGGAAAAUUACUGGUCCCCGCCGAUGAGCGGUGUCGGUUGAUUGCUUUCUAUACGAGCGAUACCCACGAAACGAUCGCUAGCAACGUGGAAUGCAUGUCAUGUACCCGGAGUCGGCGUCGCAAUACCACAGCAGUCAGCCCCAGUGCCCGCAGCCAGAGUACCAGCCGGCAGCAUCGCCGGCCUUUCAGCAGCCAGCUAAGAAGCGCCGCUUACUGAGCCCCACACAAACGCAACACCAUAACGGAAUACCACACGCACAGCUUGACAACAGCGGCUACAAGGUAAUGAAGACUCUUCAACGUGUAUUUUGAAAAGAAACUGGGAAUUUUAUGAGAG